rnacentral:lncRNA from 1 species
AAAAAAUUGAAGACCAGAACCAGGAUGAAGCAAGAGAUCUCAGUGGCUUUGGGAUGCAGCUGCUCUGGGUGCAGUUAGUGAAAUACUUUUGCAAAAGCCCAUAGAAAAAGCAACGAAGCCUGAAUAUCUGGGAUGGGCAAGCAGGUGUUGGAUGUGCUCCUCACAGCUGGCAUGAAGUGCUGGGAAAAAGCACUGGAGGGGAAUUGGAGAAAACCCAUCCUCAUGAGCUGGCCACGUGUGCUUGAGGCAGUGGGAUGCUGGAAGCUCUUUAAAUGUUUGGAGAAGAAAACUCCCAGAAAGCUAGUAAGUCUUUUUCAUUUGGAUCCCGCUGAUACAAAUAACCACAGGUUUUGGGCUGAAACAUCAGCAGUCACCUCUUUCCCUUGCCAGCUGGCAUGGCAAGCUAAUUUUAACCUCCCAAGCUCCCUCCCAUCUCCUGGAGGUUGCCCUGUUGCAGCCAGGGAGUGCUAGAAAAUAGUGCAUCGCCCACUCAUCCAGCCUCCUUCAAGGGAAAUAUUUAUAUGAUGCCAAAGAGAGGGUUUCCAUGGCAGUGAUGACUCUAGCACCGUCGCCUUGGAAACCACUUGAGGCCAUCUUGAAGGGUUUGAAAAUCCCCUUCAGAGACAAAUAAGGAGAGGGAGAAGAAAGGCCACUGAGAUCAGAGUGGCGUUCUGGUCUCCCCUGAUUUCCCUGUCAGCUCCUUGCCUGCUCCUGCUGCCUGGGUCCCUGCCCAUGCCACUGGGAUGAUUUGUAGUCCAGGUGCUGCUUCACGGAUAGACCCAGGACAAAGAAAUGAAGUGCUUUGCAAACAUAAAUGGUUCAGUUGAUGCUUCCUCCUGCUUCCCAAACCAUCCUGCAGUGACUCUGGUGUCAGGGCACUGCUCAGCCCCAGAGGAGGCUCCAGGGAGACUCCCCUGCACCAGCGAAAGCCGGGGAGAUUAUUAGUGCCUGCCCAACUUCAAGCACCAGCUGCUUUUAGAGCAGCAAAUACACAGGUUCUUUGCCAGCCUAAGUCCCCAUCCCACGUGUAGAGCCCCGUGUUUCUCCUGAGGAGCUGCCAAAAUCCGAACCACAAGCAAGAGGCGGCUGCUGGCACCAGAGCGCUCGCCUGUAGUGGUGGAAGGAGUGCACCUCUGUGUCACACACACACACCCCAGGCUCAGCCCCUGCACCCCGCGGCUCAGCUCCCAUAGCCGUGGCUCAGAUGACCGAGUGCCUCUGGCCACUUUGGCUCCCAGUCUGCAGGAGCUCUGUCACUGGCAGCCAGUCCAUCUGGCUCUCAAGGACACCAAGAAGACGGCAAGGAAAGCAAAGCUUUCGGAGCAGAUGGAUGAUGAGCUCUACGAUGCAGCUGGCAGCAGCAGGGUUGGCCAGUGUUGCUGCUUGUUCAAGCUAUGGGACUGCCUUCUUUGGGGUUUUGCUGAAAAAUAUUAGUUAUCUCCUUUAUUUUAUGGUAAUCUAAAAGAUUUUCUUCCUUGUCCCUGAGCUGCCUCCAUGCUGAGGAGUCAGUGACUUUCCAAGCCACAGCUCUUCCCUGGCACCCACACUUUGCUCUGCAGAGCCGCCUCCCACCCCCACCUAUGGGUACCUUCACACCACCUCACCCUCCAACACCCAGACAGCUUCACCACACAGAAACACCUGUGCAGCGCUUAGUCCCUCCACCAAAACCCAAGGGAGGGUCUGGCCACAGUGCCAGUACCAGGUUAACUCACUUCUCUCCAUCCCACUGCCUGUGCCAGGCUGCCUGCUCCUGCCUGCACCUCGAGGGAGCAUUUAGGGGUGCAAGGGAGCGCCUACUUCACUCUUGACCUACAGUGCGUGAAAAUCCAGGUUUAUACUGAUGCAGCUUCUCGUGUGUUGAAUAUUGAAACACAUGGGUAUGAGGCCAGGGGUGUUUGGCUUUGCCCAGGAGGGAGCUCAUAGCACACUAUGUGUCACAAAAUUCAUGCCUGGCCAGUGCUGACCCAGGUGCCAGGUAAAUAAUAUUUAUUCAUGGGCAUGAGAUGUCCUAGCCAAAGGGGGGCACCCAGGUAUGGUUUUCAUGAUGUUCUUACAUGCAUCAAGCAUUCAGGUAAAACAGAACUUGACUGAGCACUGACACCCACACUAACAGAUCUCCAGUCACAGUAAAACUUGGCAAAGCCGCUCUGUUUCUGCUUGGCGAUCGAUCCAGGAGUCCUGGAGUCCCUCUGGCUGCAGUGACUGACCUGUGACACCAGCCGGGGCUGGGAGGGUCUCAGAGCCUGGGGUGCUGUGCUACCUUGCUCAUCCCAGGGAUAAAGCUGCUCUUUAUCCCUCGGGGACUGCUCUAAAAGCAAAGUGCUUCUCUCCAGGGCUGGGCUGUUUGUUUUACUUCAGCACGAACAAUAUCGGAGUCUGCAAUAAAACUCCACUACCUCAUCA